AACGAACGCUGGCGGCGUGGAUUAGGCAUGCAAGUCGAACGUGAAAGGGGGCUUCGGCCCUGAGUAAAGUGGCAAACGGGUGAGUAACGCGUGGAGAACCUGCCCGGAAGCGGGGGAUAACACUUCUAACGAGGUGCUAAUACCGCAUGUGUCUGCGUGAGCGCAUGCUCGCGCAGGUAAACGUGGCCUCUGCUCGCAAGCUACGGCUUCCGGAUGGCUCUGCGUCUCAUUAGCUAGUUGGUGGGGUAACGGCUCACCAAGGCGACGAUGGGUAGCUGGUCUGAGAGGAUGGUCAGCCACACUGGGACUGAGAUACGGCCCAGACUCCUACGGGAGGCAGCAGUCGAGAGGCUUCCGCAAUGGGGAAACCCUGACGGAGCGACGCCGCGUGAGCGAUGAAGGCC
rnacentral:rRNA from 1 species